GAUGAACGCUGGCGGCGUGCUUAACACAUGCAAGUCGAACGAAGCACUCUACUUGAUCUCUUCGGAGUGAUUGUUUUGUGACUGAGUGGCGGACGGGUGAGUAACGCGUGGGUAACCUGCCUCAUACAGGGGGAUAACAGUUGGAAACGACUGCUAAUACCGCAUAAGCGCACAGCAUCGCAUGAUGCAGUGUGAAAAACUCCGGUGGUAUGAGAUGGACCCGCGUCUGAUUAGCCAGUUGGUGGGGUAACGGCCUACCAAAGCGACGAUCAGUAGCCGACCUGAGAGGGUGGCCGGCCACAUUGGGACUGAGACACCGCGCAAACUCCUACGGGAGGCAGCAGUGGGGAAUAUUGCACAAUGGGGGAAACCCUGAUGCAGCGACGCCGCGUGAGCGAAGAAGUAUUUCGGUAUGUAAAGCUCUAUCAGCAGGGAAGAAGAAAUGACGGUACCUGACUAAGAAGCACCGGCUAAAUACGUGCCAGCCGCCGCGGUAA
rnacentral:rRNA from 1 species